UGGUUGAACUACCUGGUUUCUCCUGCAGGCAAAUCCAAAAUGGUCAUGGAGUUUCAGAGCAGAACAACUGGACAGGAGGGUCAAUCCUAACAAAGUGCCAGCUGAAGCCCAAGAGACCACUCAUCUCCAAAGGCCCCUCCUCCUCCAGGCACCCUAAAGAGUUGUGAUAAGAAGAAAAAUGCUAUUCAGCAACAGGCUGGCAACAGGAUGGGAUCUUUGUCACGUUGACAUGGCCUCAUCAGCUGAUCUGGCUGGUCCUGAUCCUGCCUGCUUCCAAAUGUCUCCGAAGACGCAUUCCCUCAGGCACUAAGUCAGGAGCCUCUCUUGACUGAUGGUUUCUGGUUGUUUUAGCCACCUCUGGGGCAGGAUGUUUUAUUAACUGUUAUUCUUUUGCUUGUUGGUAUUUGCUGUUUUUAACUUGCAUGCCAAAUUGACAGCUAUAAAAAGUGAAUAGAUAAACAUA